rnacentral:rRNA from 1 species
UCGUUAGAGUUUGAUCCUGGCUCAGGAUGAACGCUAGCGGCAGGCUUAACACAUGCAAGUCGAGGGGUAACAGGAGAGCUUGCUCUCGCUGACGACCGGCGCACGGGUGAGUAACGCGUAUGCAAUUUACCUUUAACAGGGGAAUAGCCCGGGGAAACUCGGAUUACGACCCCAUAAUAUUUAGAAGAGGCAUCUCUUUUAUCUUAAAGCUUCGGCGGUUAAAGAUGAGCAUGCGUACCCAUUAGUUAGUUGGUGGGGUAAUAGCCUACCAAGACAUCGAUGGUUAGGGGGUCUAAAAGGAUGAUCCCCCACACUGGUACUGAGACACGGACCAGACUCCUACGGGAGGCACGCAGUGAGGAAUAUUGGUCAAUGGGCGCAAGCCUGAACCAGCCAUGCCGCGUGCAGGAUGAAGGCUCUAUGAGUCGUAAACUGCUUUUAUACGGGAAGAAAUGCUUUAUCGUGAUAGAGUUUGACGGUACCGUAUGAAUAAGCAUCGGCUAACUCCGUGCCAGCAGCCGCGGUAAUACGGAGGAUGCAAGCG